rnacentral:rRNA from 1 species
AGUCAACCUAACUCGUGGACGUGGAUAACCUCGGGAAACUGAGAAUAAACCACGAUAGAUCAUAGUGCCUGGAAUGGCUUAUGGUCCAAACAGUUUACUGCCAUGGGAUGGGACUGCGGCCUAUCAGCUUGUUGGUGAGGUAAUGGCCCACCAAGGCGAUUACAGGUACGGGCUCUGAGAGGAGAAGCCCGGAGAUGGGUACUGAGACACGGACCCAGGCCCUAUGGGGCGCAGCAGGCGAGAAACCUUAGCAAUGUGCGAAAGCACGACUGGGUCAGUCCGAGUGAUUCCUGAUAAAGGAGUCUUUUGCUUGUCCUAAAAGCACAGGUGAAUAAGGGGUGGGCAAGUCUGGUGUCAGCCGCCGCGGUAAUACCAGCACCUCGAGUGGUCAGGACGUUUAUUGGGCCUAAAGCAUCCGUAGCCGGCUCUGCAAGUCUUCGGUUAAAUCCACCUGCUCAACAGAUGGGCCGCUGGAGAUACUACAGAGCUAGGGAGUGGGAGAGGCAGACGGUAUUCAGUGGGUAGGGGUAAAAUCCUCUGAUCCAUUGAGGACCACCAGUGGCGAAGGCGGUUUGCCAGAACACGUUCGACGGUGAGGGAUGAAAGCUGGGGGAGCAAACCGGAUUAGAUACCCGGGUAGUCCCAGCUGUAAACGAUGCAAACUCGGUGAUGCAUUGGCUUAUGGCCAAUGCAGUGCCGCAGGGAAGCCGUUAAGUUUGCCGCCUGGGAAGUACGGACGCAAGUCUGAAACUUAA